GACGAACGCUGGCGGCGUGCUUAACACAUGCAAGUCGAACGGAAAGGCCCUGCUUUUGUGGGGUGCUCGAGUGGCGAACGGGUGAGUAACACGUGAGUAACCUGCCCUUGACUUUGGGAUAACUUCAGGAAACUGGGGCUAAUACCGGAUAGGAGCUCCUGCUGCAUGGUGGGGGUUGGAAAGUUUCGGCGGUUGGGGAUGGACUCGCGGCUUAUCAGCUUGUUGGUGGGGUAGUGGCUUACCAAGGCUUUGACGGGUAGCCGGCCUGAGAGGGUGACCGGCCACCUUGGGACUGAGAUACGGCCCAGACUCCUACGGGAGGCAGCAGUGGGGACUAUUGCACAAUGGGCGGAAGCCUGAUGCAGCAACGCCGCGUGCGGGAUGACGGCCUUCGGGUUGUAAACCGCUUUCGCCUGUGACGAAGCGUGAGUGACGGUAAUGGGUAAAGAAGCACCGGCUAACUACGUG
rnacentral:rRNA from 1 species